GAACCUUACCUAGGCUUGACAUGCACGGAAAUCUCCCAGAGAUGGGGGGUCCGUAAGGGCCGUGCACAGGUGGUGCAUGGUUGUCGUCAGCUCGUGUCGUGAGAUGUUGGGUUAAGUCCCGCAACGAGCGCAACCCUCGUUCCAUGUUGCCAGCACGUGAUGGUGGGGACUCAUGGGAGACUGCCGGGGUCAACUCGGAGGAAGGU
rnacentral:rRNA from 1 species